rnacentral:rRNA from 1 species
GAUGAACGCUGGCGGCGUGCCUAAUACAUGCAAGUCGAGCGAACGGACGAGAAGCUUGCUUCUCUGAUGUUAGCGGCGGACGGGUGAGUAACACGUGGAUAACCUACCUAUAAGACUGGGAUAACUUCGGGAAACCGGAGCUAAUACCGGAUAAUAUUUUGAACCGCAUGGUUCAAAAGUGAAAGACGGUCUUGCUGUCACUUAUAGAUGGAUCCGCGCUGCAUUAGCUAGUUGGUAAGGUAACGGCUUACCAAGGCAACGAUGCAUAGCCGACCUGAGAGGGUGAUCGGCCACACUGGAUCUGAGACACGGUCCAGACUCCGACGGGAGGCAGCAGUAGGGAAUCUUCCGCAAUGGGCGAAAGCCUGACGGUGCACCGCCGCGUGAGUGAUGAUGGUCUUCGGAUCGUAAAACUCUGUUAUUAGGGAAGAACAUAUGUGUAAGUAACUGUGCACAUCUUGACGGUACCUAAUCAGAAAGCCACGGCUAACUACGUG